CCUACGGGAGGCAGCAGUGAGGAAUAUUGGUCAAUGGGCGGGAGCCUGAACCAGCCAAGUCGCGUGAGGGAUGACGGCCCUAUGGGUUGUAAACCUCUUUUGUCAGGGAGCAAAGUCACCCACGUGUGGGUGUUGGAGAGUACCUGAAGAAAAAGCAUCGGCUAACUCCGUGCCAGCAGCCGCGGUAAUACGGAGGAUGCGAGCGUUAUCCGGAUUUAUUGGGUUUAAAGGGUGCGCAGGCGGAAUGUCAAGUCAGCGGUAAAAUUUCGGGGCUCAACCCCGUCGUGCCGUUGAAACUGGCGUUC
rnacentral:rRNA from 1 species